CCACCAGAUGUUUCACAUUGAAGUUCAAAUUAAUCUGACAGGCUGAUGUUCUAGAGUACUAUGAUCAGACAGUCUCCUCUCCUCAAGGCUCCUUCUACAUUCCAGCUGUUUUAAGGGGGCGUCGCCUGCUUCAGGCAGUGAAGAGAAGGAGAAUAAAGCACACUCUCAGUCGAAAAAGCAUAUUUUUCCGGGAUUCGUACACUUGCCAGUAUUGUUCUUCUCGUCUGGACUGUACUAUUGACCACGUCCUGCCAAUUUCAAGGGGUGGCGAAUGGAAAUGGGAAAAUCUGGUAUUUUUGUUUUUCUUAUGAUAAAAAUUGCUCGUUUAAUUUUUUGUGUGGGGUUCAGGUUGAUCCGCCAACCCGAAAUAGAUUUGGAAUUGACCCGCCAACUCUAAAUUGACCCAAUAUUGACUCUGAAUAUACUCGAGUUUAACAUGAAUAGUUGGUCAUUAGGACUUUUAACGAUCCAAUUACGAGCCGAGUUGAGGUCGGCUCCAAAUCGGCUUGAAAAAAAUUUAUGCUCGAAUAAUUUUCAAUCCAAAAUUUUGACUCAUUUUUUUC